GUGGGGAAUAUUGGACAAUGGGCGAAAGCCUGAUCCAGCCAUGCCGCGUGUGUGAAGAAGGUCUUCGGAUUGUAAAGCACUUUAAGUUGGGAGGAAGGGCAGUAAGUUAAUACCUUGCUGUUUUGACGUUACCGACAGAAUAAGCACCGGCUAACUUCGUGCCAGCAGCCGCGGUAAUACGAAGGGUGCAAGCGUUAAUCGGAAUUACUGUGCGUAAAGCGCGCGUAGGUGGUUUUGUAAGUUGGGGGUGAAAUCCCCGGGCUCAACCUGGGAACUGCCUCCAAAACUGCAUGACUAGAGUACGGUAGAGGGUAGUGGAAUUUCCUGAGUAGCGGUGAAAUGCGUAGAUAUAGGAAGGAACACCAGUGGCGAAGGCGACUACCUGGACUGAUACUGACACUGAGGUGCGAAAGCGUGGGGAGCAAACAGGAUUAGAUACCCCUGUAGUCC
rnacentral:rRNA from 1 species